rnacentral:rRNA from 1 species
UACGUAGGUGGCAAGCGUUGUCCGGAUUUACUGGGCGUAAAGAGCGCGCAGGCGGUCGAUCAAGUCGCGUGUGAAAGCCCCCGGCUCAACUGGGGAGGGUCACGCGAUACUGAUCGACUCGAAGGCAGGAGAGGGUAGUGGAAUUCCCGGUGUAGUGGUGAAAUGCGUAGAUAUCGGGAGAAACACCAGUGGCGAAGGCGACUACCUGGCCUGUUCUUGACGCUGAGGCGCGAAAGCUAGGGGAGCAAACGGG